GACUUAUGAAGAAAGGUGGAGGGAUAGGCCCUUUGAAACCUUGGCAACCUCUCUGGUGUAUUGCACACUGGAAAAAGGUGCCAAUUCCGAUCCCUGCGUGGGAAAAGAUAAGUA
rnacentral:ncRNA from 2 species